UGGGGAAUCUUCCGCAAUGGACGAAAGUCUGACGGAGCAACGCCGCGUGAGUGAUGACGGCCUUCGGGUUGUAAAGCUCUGUUAAUCGGGACGAAAGGCCUUCUUGCGAAUAGUUAGAAGGAUUGACGGUACCGGAAUAGAAAGCCACGGCUAACUACGUGCCAGCAGCCGCGGUAAUACGUAGGUGGCAAGCGUUGUCCGGAAUUAUUGGGCGUAAAGCGCGCGCAGGCGGAUUGGUCAGUCUGUCUUAAAAGUUCGGGGCUUAACCCCGUGAUGGGAUGGAGACUGCCAAUCUAGAGUAUCGGAGAGGAAAGUGGAAUUCCUAGUGUAGCGGUGAAAUGCGUAGAUAUUAGGAAGAACACCAGUGGCGAAGGCGACUUUCUGGACGAAAACUGACGCUGAGGCGCGAAAGCCAGGGAGCGAACGGGAUUAGAUACCCCGGUAGUCCUGGCCGUAAACGAUGGGUACUAGGUGUAGGAGGUAUCGACCCCUUCUGUGCCGGAGUUAACGCAAUAAGUACCCCGCCUGGGGAGUACGACCGCAAGGUUG
rnacentral:rRNA from 1 species